UACGUAGGGUGCAAGCGUUGUCCGGAAUUAUUGGGCGUAAAGAGCUCGUAGGCGGUCUGUCGCGUCGGCUGUGAAAACUCGGGGUUCAACUCCGAGCUGGCAGUCGAUACGGGCAGGCUAGAGUUCGGCAGGGGAGACUGGAAUUCCUGGUGUAGCGGUGAAAUGCGCAGAUAUCAGGAGGAACACCGGUGGCGAAGGCGGGUAUCUGGGCCGAUACUGACGCUGAGGAGCGAAAGCGUGGGGAGCGAACAGG
rnacentral:rRNA from 1 species